CCUACGGGAUGCAGCAGUGGGGAAUAUUGCACAAUGGGCGCAAGCCUGAUGCAGCCAUGCCGCGUGUAUGAAGAAGGCCUUCGGGUUGUGAAGUACUUUCAGCGAGGAGGAAGGCGUUAAGGUUAAUAACCUUGGCGAUUGACGUUACUCGCAGAAGAAGCACCGGCUAACUCCGUGCCAGCAGCCGCGGUAAUACGGAGGGUGCAAGCGUUAAUCGGAAUUACUGGGCGUAAAGCGCACGCAGGCGGUCUGUCAAGUCGGAUGUGAAAUCCCCGGGCUCAACCUGGGAACUGCAUCUGAUACUGGCAAGCUUGAGUCUCGUAGAGGGGGGUAGAAUUCCAGGUGUAGCGGUGAAAUGCGUAGAGAUCUGGAGGAAUACCGGUGGCGAAGGCGGCCCCUGGACGAAGACUGACGCUCAGGUGCGAAAGCGUGGGGAGCAAACAGGAUUAGAUACCCCGGUAGUC
rnacentral:rRNA from 1 species